rnacentral:lncRNA from 10 species
UAGUGAGAUGUGAUUCUGACUUGGAAUUUGUCUAUCCCCUGGUGGGUAGAGUGAGGCUAGUCAAAUAAAGCAGUGGGAGUGGAAAAGGAUCAAAGAAAUCUGUAACCGGUUAUGAUCAAUUAGUUGUAAACACCACUGCACGAGGACCAGCCCAAAGCUGCUACUUAACCAAGUGACUUUCUGAUUGCUCAACUGUGUUUCCACUGAGAAAAAUGCAUUGAAAUGAAACAUCUCAUUUCCAGUACUGUCCUGAGGCAAAAAGAGACAAUGAUACGUAUCUCCAAUUUAGACUGGAUGAAACUAGCCACAUUUCAAAUAAAGAAGUCACAUUGUAAGUGUAAAACGACGUUAACCUUAAAGGAGACAUUUCCGCCCUGUAUAACUAUGCACAGCUUCAACUAAUGGUAUAUGAACUGUGUCUACAAACCAA